GUGCUCGCUUUAGCAGCACAUAUACUAAAAUUGGAAUAAUACAGAGACGAUAAGCAUACCCCCACCCCCCACCCCGCCCCGAGCGCCAGGAUGACAUUCGAACUCAUGAAGCAUUCCAUAUUUUU
rnacentral:snRNA from 1 species